rnacentral:rRNA from 1 species
CCCUUAGAUGUUCUGGGCCGCACGCGCGCUACACUGAUGAAUGCAACGAGCUCUACCCUUGACCGAAAGGCCCGGGUAAACUUGUGAAACUUCAUCGUGAUGGGGAUAGAUUAUUGCAAUUAUUAAUCUUCAACGAGGAAUUCCUAGUAAGCGCGAGUCAUCAGCUCGCGUUGAUUACGUCCCUGCCCUUUGUACACACCGUCCGUCGCUCCUACCGAUUGAAUGGUCCGGUGAAAUCUUCGGAUUGCUGACCAAGAUCCAGCAAUGGAGCUUGGUUGCGAGAAGUUGAUUAAACCUUAUUAUUUAGAGGAAGGAGAAGUCGUAACA